UACGUAGGGUGCGAGCGUUAAUCGGAUUUACUGGGCGUAAAGCGUGCGCAGGCGGUUCGCCAAGUCAGGUGUGAAAUCCCCGGGCUUAACCUGGGAAUUGCGCUUGAAACUAGCGGGCUUGAGUGUGGCAGAGGGGGGUGGAAUUCCACGUGUAGCAGUGAAAUGCGUAGAGAUGUGGAGGAACACCGAUGGCGAAGGCAGCACCCUGGGUCAACACUGACGCUCAUGCACGAAAGCGUGGGGAGCAAACAGG
rnacentral:rRNA from 1 species